rnacentral:rRNA from 1 species
UGGGGAAUAUUGCACAAUGGGCGGAAGCCUGAUGCAGCGACGCCGCGUGGGGGAUGAAGGCCUUCGGGUUGUAAACUCCUUUCGACAGGGACGAAGCUUUUGUGACGGUACCUGUAUAAGAAGCACCGGCUAACUACGUGCCAGCAGCCGCGGUAAUACGUAGGGUGCGAGCGUUGUCCGGAAUUACUGGGCGUAAAGAGCUCGUAGGUGGUUUGUCGCGUCGUCUGUGAAAUUCCGGGGCUUAACUCCGGGCGUGCAGGCGAUACGGGCUGACUUGAGUGCUGUAGGGGAGACUGGAAUUCCUGGUGUAGCAGUGAAAUGCGCAGAUAUCAGGAGGAACACCGCUGGCGAAGGCAGGUCUCUGGGCAGUAACUGACGCUGAGGAGCGAAAGCAUGGGUAGCGAACAGG